GACGAACGCUGGCGGCGUGCUUAACACAUGCAAGUCGAACGGUGAAGCGCCUUCCUUUUUGGUGGGUGUGGAUGAGUGGCGGACGGGUGAGUAACACGUGAGUAACCUGCCCCCUUCUUCUGGAUAACCGCAUGAAAGUGUGGCUAAUACGGGAUAUUCUGGGUCUGUCGCAUGAUGGGUCUGGGAAAGAUUUUGUUUCGGUGGGGGAUGGGCUCGCGGCCUAUCAGCUUGUUGGUGGGGUGAUGGCCUACCAAGGCGGUGACGGGUAGCCGGCCUGAGAGGGUGGACGGUCACACAGGGACUGAGACACGGACAAGACUACUACGGGAGGCAGCAGUGGGGAAUAUUGCACGAUGGGCGGAAGCCUGAUGCAGCGACGCCGCGGGAGGGAUGGAGGCCUGCGGGUUGUGAACCUCUUUCGCCAGUGAAGCAGGCCUGCCUCGUUUGUGGGUGGGUUGACGGUAGCUGGAUAAGAAGCGCCGGCUAACUACGUG
rnacentral:rRNA from 1 species